GUGGUAAUAUAUUCAGGUGGGGAAGCUCUCCCCCCCGGUGACCGUUCAAAAAAAAAAAGAGGUGUGGGGUUCUUUUUAUUUGACAGAGAAAAUACUCUGGUUUUGGAAAUACCACAGUAUUAAUACUGAAGUUUUUGUGGGUAGCCAAACACCUCACAGUAAAUUAAACUGUAGUAUUUUAAAAAACUGUAGUAUUAUCAGAAUACUUUAAAAAAACUUCGCUAUCAAACGGGGCCUUAAGGUUUGCCUCAGUUUUCUGCAUUUUUUGGCAAUGCAAUUUCCCCCAAUAUACAAUUAUACAUGAUAUGCUAUGACAUAAACAUGUGAAGCCCUGUGCAUCUUUGGUUCUGGUUCUACUACGUGCUGGUCUGCUGUCAUGCAACACAGAACUGAUUCUCUUGAAAAAUACAGAAUGAAACAGCUUCAUUAGUUGUACUAAACUGAUCUCGCACGAGUCAUAUUUCUCAAUAACUGAUGAACAUUCAGAAGAAAAAACGGUCUGUUUAUUUUUGUAAUAUAUACUAUUAAAGGGGAGUCCGUCGUCGUUUCGUUCGUAUCUUUAGUCCCAUCAUACAGUCAUUAGUUCUAAGGUACUUCCUCAGUAAACAAAUAUAAGAACAUUGUUCUAAGGUGAGAAUGGAUGUGCAUCUCCAUUAUGUAUAACUACAACAGGCUUAUGUGAUCUUAUCAUGAAGUCAUUUUUCAGUUUGUGCCCAACGUGACUGCAUGUAAAUAUGUAAUACGCUAACUUUGUUCUUCCUUUUUGUUGUUUGACUGACUCAAUUUACCAUCUCAAAUGCCAUUCCCUUUAUAGCUAGCACAUCAUCUCCAAAGAAUUUAUUUAAGUUGAAAUCCAGUAAUUAAAUGUUGAUCGGAUAAGCAGGCUGAUGGAAUCUUGGUCAAAUUUUUUGUUUUUACUGGAUGGAACUAGAACUAUUAUUUCCUGAAUAUAUUGGAUCACAAAGAACUAAAUAUAUCUACAAUGUCUUUGGGCAUACUCUGAAUUUGCAGAGUUAGCACAAACCUGGAAGCAUAUAUGCAGCUCCCAGAUGUUGCAGGCAAGAGGAAGGGCACGUACGUCAUGCGAUACCACGGAGACCUCUAUCUGGUAACCAGACUCUCCACGUGGACGUGGGAAUAAGAAAGCGUAGCAGAGACAUGAAAAGGAAUUUAUUGGUGGGACAAAAUUAUGUCAUGGUUUAUAUACAGCAAGGAUCAUACCCCACCCACGCGGUGGCACGACGCAGAAGGGCUACAUGGGUUAAUAGCGGCGUGUGCAAUGGAAGGACGCCUAUGAGAACAAGCUCGCCGAGGUCUUGGAAUUCCAACCUAGUGCACUGGUUCACGAGAUUGAUGCUGAGAAGAUUCAGUUUGCCGCGCUACACAUGAGAAGAUUCUUUUUCUUGAAAAUAUAUUGUUUUCUCGGUGCACAUACCUUCAGAAAAAGAGAAGUGCUUGAACGAAGAUUCUCCUCCGUCAUCUAAACGAUGAAACUCGAUAUAGACCAGGCAGGAAGGAGGAGGUGGAGGAGGCGAGAAGCUGUGGCGUCAUGCUCUCCCCCGAUGCUUUCAAGUCGUCCGCCCUGCACCAAGGCACUCCUCUCCCCACUCGAUUCCGCUCCUCCACAUUUGGUCCUUCAGUUGUUGAUGUGUUGAAGGAGGCUCCACGGAGGCGGCGGCCAUCGAGCUCUAGAUUUGGCAGCAGCGGCACACCGUACGUAGUGCACGCCAAAGCUAAGGAACUGGCGAAGACCGCUAUAAUGCCCCACGUCAUAUUAAGGAUAAGCUGUUCUGGCAAUAUACUUUUGCUCGUGAGGAGCUACAUCUUACCAAGAGUUUCAGGGAUAGGACUAAGACAGAUAUCAGUUUUUGCCUAAUUGUAGUUUAUGGUGCUCUUUUUUCUUUAUAGAAAUUUCCUAUGCUCUUAUGCUCACGUGGAAUAGCAACAUCACAACCAAUAUUAAUGUGACUUGUUUGUCUUUUGCAGAAUUUUUUUAAGGCCUCGUCCUGCUUGAUUUGCCAGCGUGUGUGACUCCCGAAAUCCAAGUUUACAUCACUGCAUACAAAUUUGUUGGGCACCUCUGAAUUCGUUGCAUGCGUUGAUUCGCAUGGGAAGCGGGCGCUACAGGUUGAUGCAACUUCCCCAACUAAAUGCACGGAUGAUACUUCUUUAUGGCUGUGACUAACUUGUCAACCUGGGUAAAAGAAAAAUAUUUACUGUACAAAUAGGAGAAGGCAAAAAAAUCAUCUCAUAUAUUAGAUUGCACCAGUAGUAUUUUGGGAGCAUAAAUUCUUCAUUAGAGACAUAGGAAAAUUGUUUUCCAGAUGUUGCAGGCGAGAGGAAGGGCGCGUCAUGCGAUGCCAUGUAUCCAGUAGUGGUUUCUUCUCCCAUACGGUAUGCCCUUACUCUCCGGUCUGUACGUAUGUAUGCUUUUCCACUUAAUACGGUAUUAGCUCUAUGUUAACCUUCUUCUAGGUUCCCCGCUCUAGGAUUUUCUUUGUAGGAAAUCUGAAUAAUAUAAAUAGGUAUGUUUUCCCAUGAAGAUGUCUGGUUUUAAUCCAAAAAAAUUACAUUACAUGGUAUGCUAAAAUGGUUUGUAUUUUAGAGUUUACUCCCAUUUACUUGUGUGUUCUUCCAAUAGUAAUAGAAUUGCUAUCAAUUAGACUUCUUUGUGUUCCCUGAAAUUAAAUGGUUUGCCAUAGAGGAUGAAAUUUGAGUAUGACAGUUGUUGAACUGAAAAUAAUCUAGCGAGCAAUAAUAAAAUGAAGAAUACCUUAUCAUAUUGCAGUGCCCUAUGAGUGAAUAACAGGCCAAUACACUGGCAAAAUGAAAAUGCUUUGUUUGGAUACCAAGAAGAAAAAUAGUUCACAUUAAGAGACUAUUUUAAAGUUGUUUCCAGUAGACUAUUAGAUAUGGUGUCGCAUGGACCCUUUUAAAAUUAGCUUCUUGAUUUCAUUUGGCAGGAUGGUGCCGCAAAACUCUGGUUAAAUAGCUGCUACCAUCCCCGUACAUGAUAAAUAAAGUUUUUUUCUCAGUGUAGAAUUUGGUGUUUAGUGUAGUGCUUGAUGUCUCCGUACAUAACAAGACAAGUUGAGAUUUAUUUUCUUAGUUUGGUUGCUGGUCUUAUCUCAAACUUGGGUGUCCAAUGUAGUCCUUGACAUCCCAUGUACGCACUGUUGUAUAUACUUGUUGAUUCAUGCAAAAGUAUUAACUGAGAGUUUAUUGUGUUCUGCAAGAAACAUUAAUUCGGAGAGUCCACCAUACAUUAUUUAAGUGCUGGUUAAAUGUAUACCACUAGAGUUGAUUGAGGGGCUAAUCAGCAGGGUGUAAUCAAGGUUGGACUUAUUGCUUCGAGGCACAAUCUAUAUUUCACAGCAUGUGUAACCUUGCAGGAUGUGUUUUAUUUUCUUUCAAUACACCCAACCCUGCUUUCAAUUAAAUUCACUUUGGUUGGACUGAACUUCACUGAUGAAAAAUAUCAUUGUCGUCUAUCGUGUCUCCUUAAAAAAGAGGAAACUGUCGAAAUCUUUGUUAUCAGUGCACAUAUCCUUUUGCUCUUGGUGCAUGGGCUAUAGGAUUGUAUCAAAUUAUUUGUUCGACACGAGUCACAAAAAACACUGAAGCAUAUGUACUUGAUGCAGAUGCAUUUAUAUACAUCUUUUGUGGGAUUUACCUAUUAUCUUUGCCAUAGACAUGGAAAGCCAUCGACCAGUUUUUGUAGUUUGGUAGCUUUCACAUGCCCAUAGUAUAAUUAUGUUAGCCUUUGCAUUUUUCUGAUGAUGUUGUCAUGAGCUGAACAUAUACUGGGAGAAUAAUUGACAUUUUGCCUAUGAUAUCAAUAUACCAAGUUUUUGUUUGGUUGGAAUUUUGACAGCAUCAUAUUCAUAUGGUUAUGUACUUCAAAAUACCAAAGGAGGGGCCAAACGUUGUACGAGCUUCGACAAAGGGAACCUGCCUACAAUGCUGUGGCGGGGUUGGGGGCAGCCGUGCGGUGUGAGUUGGUCAAGUCUGAGGAUCACGGCCGACAACUGCAUCUUCAACCUCUACACGAUUAGUGAUAUUUGGCUAUG